rnacentral:rRNA from 1 species
GAUGAACGCUAGCUACAGGCUUAACACAUGCAAGUCGAGGGGCAGCAUGAUUGAAGCUUGCUUCAAUCGAUGGCGACCGGCGCACGGGUGAGUAACACGUAUCCAACCUGCCGAUAACUCGGGGAUAGCCUUUCGAAAGAAAGAUUAAUACCCGAUAGUAUAGUAUUUCCGCAUGGUUUCACUAUUAAAGAACUUCGGUUAUCGAUGGGGAUGCGUUCCAUUAGAUAGUUGGCGGGGUAACGGCCCACCAAGUCAACGAUGGAUAGGGGUUCUGAGAGGAAGGUCCCCCACAUUGGAACUGAGACACGGUCCAAACUCCUACGGGAGGCAGCAGUGAGGAAGAUUGGUCAAUGGACGAGAGUCUGAACCAGCCAAGUAGCGUGAAGGAUGACUGCCCUAUGGGUUGUAAACUUCUUUUAUACGGGAAUAAAGUGGAGUAUGCAUACUCCUUUGUAUGUACCGUAUGAAUAAGGAUCGGCUAACUCCGUG